GGACGGACGGACACUGGACAUUUGUAUACCAUAAUACGUCCCGUCAAAUUUGACGGACGUAUAAAAAAUAACACAAAGACAGGUUAGACAAAAGGUCUUUCUACUUCCAUUGGUAAUUAUAAAUUAAAAAAGGGGCCUUCCGAAGAUGAUUAGAAACAGUGAUCAAGUUGAAUCUGAUUUCCGUUCCGUUCCGCAAAAUACCAAUUGCUAUCAUUUUCUGUAAAAUGGUCCACUUACACGUUUUCAAUUUCCGGAUGUACUCACUCAUAUUCGCGCUAUGACAAAAGGGUUCAAUCGUCCCAAGAUAC
rnacentral:lncRNA from 1 species